UUGGACCUGAUAUCAGA
rnacentral:rRNA from 1 species